rnacentral:lncRNA from 1 species
UGCAAGUCUCUUCACGUUGCUUGUAGGAUCCUUUAUCAUAUCUUCAUAUUUCAACAAAAGAGUUAUCUCGGGUCUCUCUAGGCUUGCUUUCGCAAAUCCUGAGAGAUGAUCCCAAAUUGGUCCAAAGACAUUAAUGCCCUGACAAAACUCGUCAAAUGCCUCCUCAAAUGGGGCAUCUUCUAUGGUUUGAAGCUCGGAUUGAUUCUGGCAAUAAGUUGUAAGGAAUGUGUGUGGCUAUGGGUGUGAUACAUGAGUUGUCGAUGUGGCGGUUUUCAAGGAUUUGCUCAAUAUUUUUCUCAAGGGAGGGAAUGCAGUUAUGAGGGAUGUUUGUGAGCAAAGGUGUGUUGGAUUCGUCAAACUUUUGUCGGGUUACGAUGGCAAAAGCAAUGGCCUUUAGCCAUGUCGUGCCGCUUUUGGGAUGACUGCAUAGAAACACAUCACUUGGUUGAGCCUUGAAGGUAUGUUGUGCUGAAAUUAUUCCUUCGAGGAACUUUGGAUGGCACCAUAUGCCUUGAUAGUUGUACAUGAUUUCCCUGCCUUUCACCCAACUAUGAGUGUAUUGAGGAAAUGUUUUGAUCAUCUCUUCAAUGUCUCUAGCAGACAUAACUU